AGAGAGCCAAAACCCUAAAACACUAAAGAGGCCAAAAUCUAACGAGCAAAGUCUUGUAUUACUCUGGAAGCAAAGAUCAUGGGAUUCGUUUCUUGGCAUGGCAACAUGGAUCGGCGACCGGCGAUGUCGAUGCAACCAAUUGGAGCCAUGGGCGUGGCUGGGUUUUCUCUGCCUUAGCAAGAAUACAAAUCCGAGCAUCUAAUUUUUAUUUAUUUAUUUUGCCUUUGCCAUUGCUGUAAUUUUGGGAUGCGUUUGAAUUCUCAACCUUUAUUGUCACACUUCUAGGAAAUCUUGCUGCAGUUUCAGCUGUGCACUCCAUUGCUGUGUUUCGUGCUAUUGAGGUCGAAUCUUUCCUUUUAUUUCUUGUCCCAAUUAGUUGGUUGUACUUGUUUAUAAUGUGAAUAUGUAUAUUUAAGUCAGUAUCCUAUGCCUUGCACAAUAGGUGUUUGAAAUUAGGUAUGACAAUUACUUUCCAUUUGGUAUGUGUUCUAAGAUCGUAUUUGUGGUUUUCUGCACCAUCGUUAAUCGAAAACUUCUA